ACGGAAGGCAGCAGUGGGGAAUAUUGCACAAUGGGCGAAAGCCUGAUGCAGCGACGCCGCGUGAGUGAAGAAGUAUUUCGGUAUGUAAAGCUCUAUCAGCAGGGAAGAAAAUGACGGUACCUGACUAAGAAGCCCCGGCUAACUACGUGCCAGCAGCCGCGGUAAUACGUAGGGGGCAAGCGUUAUCCGGAUUUACUGGGUGUAAAGGGAGCGUAGACGGCAAUGCAAGUCUGAAGUGAAAGCCCGUGGCUUAACUGCGGGACUGCUUUGGAAACUGCAUGGCUAGAGUGUCGGAGAGGUGAGUGGAAUUCCCAGUGUAGCGGUGAAAUGCGUAGAUAUUGGGAGGAACACCGGAGGCGAAGGCGGCUCACUGGACGAUUACUGACGUUGAGGCUCGAAAGCGUGGGGAGCAAACAGGAUUAGAUACCCUGGUA
rnacentral:rRNA from 1 species